rnacentral:tRNA from 14 species
GGCCCGGUGGUCAAGCGGCUAAGACACCGCCCUUUCACGGCGGUAACACGAGUUCGAUUCUCGUCCGGGUCACCA